GGGAAACGACAGAAGCCAGUGAUUCAGGAACUACAUCACAGUAGGAGAUGAAGUCAGAGAGAUGGGCAUGGGGUGGGGUGGGGGGCUGUCUGUCAAAUGGUGGAGCUUGGAGCUUUGGAGCUUUCAGUAGGCUGGUCACAGUAAGCUGUGACCAUGGGAGAGCUUUAAGCAGGGGAGUGCUAUCAGCUUCAAGCAGGUUCUCCUGAAGUGUUGGUGCGGCUCACGGCUCUGUGAGGGUUUCCACUGCAAGUGAUUACAGAAGUGGCAUGUGGAGAGUGGACUGGGAGGCAAAAUAUAUGCAGGAAAAGUGGAAAUCACCAAGGAAAACGAGUGAAGGGGAAAUCAAUGUGAGAUCAUAUGCCUUCCUGGGGAAGUAGGGGGAGAGAAGACCCGAUACUGUUUCAGUCACAGUUCAGGCAGGAAAACACCGCCAGUGCUAGGUAAUUCAAUAGAGCAGAUUUUAUAUGUGGAAUUAGAGAUAGAAGUGUUGGAAGAGACAAAAAGCCAAACAGGGGACUGUGAGACAACUCAAAGAUUAACAACAGCAAAAAGCAGCCACAAACCCAAAGGCUUAAAUGAUAAAGUGAUGAGAAAGUAUAAGCAGGUCACCGAAUUCAGCCAUUGUUUUUAUUAUCAUUAUUUAAAUUCAAUUAGCCAACAUACAGUACAUUGUUA
rnacentral:lncRNA from 12 species